rnacentral:lncRNA from 1 species
CAGGGAGAACGUUCUGAGAAAGAACAGUCUGAACUUAUCCACUCAACAAUUCAGCAUGAGCUGUCCAUUUUAAAGCUACUAGCCGUUGGAAAACUUCCUUUGGGACCAAGGAACUGAAGACUCAAGGUUCAACUAUAAAAUGAAGACUUUGGCAACAUUGAAGAGUAAGAGUUUAAUCUACAACAAUCAAUCUACUUGUCUUUGUGAUACAAGUUUUCAAGCUCUUCUUUAAAGAUC